rnacentral:rRNA from 1 species
UAAGAGACAGCAGCAGCCGCGGUAAUACGUAGGUCCCGAGCGUUGUCCGGAUUUAUUGGGCGUAAAGCGAGCGCAGGCGGUUAGAUAAGUCUGAAGUUAAAGGCUGUGGCUUAACCAUAGUACGCUUUGGAAACUGUUUAACUUGAGUGCAAGAGGGGAGAGUGGAAUACCAUGUGUAGCGGUGAAAUGCGUAGAUAUAUGGAGGAACACCGGUGGCGAAAGCGGCUCUCUGGCUUGUAACUGACGCUGAGGCUCGAAAGCGUGGGGAGCAAACAGGAUUAGAUACCCCAGUAGUCCCUGUCUCUUAUACA